AGUGAACGCUGGCGGUAGGCCUAACACAUGCAAGUCGAACGGCAGCACAGUAAGAGCUUGCUCUUACGGGUGGCGAGUGGCGGACGGGUGAGGAAUACAUCGGAAUCUACUUUUUCGUGGGGGAUAACGCAGGGAAACUUACGCUAAUACCGCAUACGACCUACGGGUGAAAGCAGGGGAUCUUCGGACCUUGCGCGAUUGAAUGAGCCGAUGUCGGAUUAGCUAGUUGGCGGGGUAAAGGCCCACCAAGGCGACGAUCCGUAGCUGGUCUGAGAGGAUGAUCAGCCACACUGAAACAGAGACACGGUCCAGACUCCUACGGGGGGCAGCAGUGGGGAAUAGUGGAAAAGGGGCGCAAGCCUGAUACAGCCAUACCGCGUGGGUGAAGAAGGCCUUCGGGUUGUAAAGCCCUUUGUUGGGAAAGAAAAGCAGCAGGUUAAUACCCCGCUGUUCUGACGGGACCCAAAGAAUAAGCACCGGCGAACUUCGG
rnacentral:rRNA from 1 species